CCCGGGGCCCGAGCCCCCUGCACCCCCGCCACCGUCCCCGCCCCGCGCGGCCGCCGCCGCCGCCCCGCGCCCCUCUGCCCCACGGGCCCCCGCGCGGCUCUGCCUCUGACCCCACGGCCCCCGCGGCCGCCGCCACCGCCGUCCCACGCGGCCCCUCGCGGCCCUACGGCCCCCGCCGCCGCCCCGCGCCCCUCUGCCCCGUGGGCCCCCGCGCAGCUCUGCCUCUGCCCCCACGGCCCCCGCGGCGGCCGCCGCCGCCCUGCGCGGCCCCUCGCGGCCCCACGGCCCCCGCCGCUGCCGCCGCCGCCCCGCGCCCCUCUGCCCCGUGGGCCCCCGCGCGGCUCUGCCUCUGCCCCCGCGGCCCCCGUGGCGCACCCGCUCUUCACCGGCCACCCGGGGAUAGAUCUCCAAUAACGAGGCUGCGCCAUCGCCACCCAGCAUUCUUCCUGCUAGUUUACUCCAUAAAAGAAGCUCUUUCUUCUUGACUCUAUGCAACAUGCAUUUUUGAACUAUGCAUAUAUGAUAGUCUAAGAUCUGCUAAGUUUUAUUAAUAGCUUGUGCUAAUUAAUUAGUUGACUUUGCACAUAUGUAGUGUCCGUGUCACUAUCAUGGAACAUGAUUUUCCAUAUACACCUAUGUUUUACAUUUUCUCAGGUGCAUUCCCUCCAUUUAUGUAAGUACUUUUUCACUGUCAACUGAGACACUGCUCUUACAGAAUAUUAUUACUUGCAAUAUAUCGUGCUGUUUAACUACAUGAAUAGGUUGGUAUAAAUUGCAUUGUUACGUUGUAAACCUAUUGUUCAAAUAUGGUUGUCAUGUCUAUGUUUUGACCUAAAUUUGCUAAUUUCUAAGUACUGGUCUUAGGGAACAUGUCAGCAGAGUCGUCUUCAUCAUGACAGGGUGAACUGGUCUCCAAAUUGCUUACCACGUGGAUCUGUAAAUGAUACAGAAGGCAGCUUUGCCUUUCAACUUGUGUACUGGAAUUUUAUGAAUAUUGUAAUUUUUUGGAAAAUUGACUUCAGGAAUAUAUGAGGCGUUGGAGUUGAGGGAUGGAGGAUCUGACUAUCUUGGCAAGGGUGUUCUUAAGGCUGUGAACAAUGUAAAUAGCAUCAUUGGACCAGCAAUUAUUGGAAAGUGUGCAAAGCUGGAGCUAUGGUGAAGAAGAUUCCUCUUUACCAGCACAUUGCAAACCUUGCUGGAAACAAAACUGUGGUGCUGCCUGUGCCUGCUUUUAAUGUGAUCAAUGGAGGAUCACAUGCUGGAAACAAGCUUGCCAUGCAGAUGGCAUGUUCAAGGGCAUCUACCACGGCAAGAAGUGCCACGCCGCUGAUAUCCCGGCCAUACUUGCGCGCGCGUGGGCCGCCGGCGUCGACCGCAUCAUUGUAAUCCCAGUGUUCGAUGUAAUGCGCCUGAGAAGCUGUCUUGUAUCUGUACAAUGCAGGGAGGCUGUUCUGCACGGUCGGCGUGCACCCAACGAGAUGUCAUUUGUGGUUCUGUUAUCUAAUCCUGUUCAUUGUUCUAUUCAGCUAAGCUCAUACUCUAGAUUUUUUAUGUGUGCCAUAUUAUAUGCAA